GAGUGAUGAAGGUUUUCGGAUCGUAAAGCUCUGUUGCCAAGGAAGAACGUCUUCUAGAGUAACUGCUAGGAGAGUGACGGUACUUGAGAAGAAAGCCCCGGCUAACUACGUGCCAGCAGCCGCGGUAAUACGUAGGGGGCAAGCGUUGUCCGGAAUUAUUGGGCGUAAAGCGCGCGCAGGCGGUUCUUUAAGUCUGGUGUUUAAACCCGAGGCUCAACUUCGGGUCGCACUGGAAACUGGGGGACUUGAGUGCAGAAGAGGAGAGUGGAAUUCCACGUGUAGCGGUGAAAUGCGUAGAUAUGUGGA
rnacentral:rRNA from 1 species